UACGUAGGGUGCAAGCGUUGUCCGGAAUUAUUGGGCGUAAAGAGCUCGUAGGCGGUUCGUCGCGUCGGCUGUGAAAACCUGAAGGCUCGACCUCAGGCCUGCAGUCGAUACGGGCGGACUUGAGUACUGCAGGGGAGACUGGAAUUCCUGGUGUAGCGGUGAAAUGCGCAGAUAUCAGGAGGAACACCGGUGGCGAAGGCGGUCUCUGGCAGUGAACUGACGCUGGAGGAGCGAAAGCGUGGGAGCGAACAGG
rnacentral:rRNA from 1 species